CGCGUAGGCGGUUCCGAAAGUGGCAUGUGAAAUCCUCUGGCUCAACCAGAGAAGUGCGUGCCAAACUUCGGUUCUAGAGGAUGGUAGGGGGGACUGGAACUCUCGGUGGAGCGGUGAAAUGCGUAGAUAUCGAGAGGAACACCGGUGGCGAAGGCGAGUCCCUGGUCCAUCACUGACGCUGAGGCGCGAAAGCGUGGGUAGCAAACAGGAUUAGAUACCCUGGUAGUCCACGCCGUAAACGAUGAACACUAGGUAGCGGCCGGAUCCGACCGGUCGCUGCUGACGGAAAUCCAUUAAGUGUUCCGCCUGGGGAGUAUGGUCGCAAGGCUGAA
rnacentral:rRNA from 1 species